AACAAGGCGUACCUGCGGACCUGCGGAAGGAUCAUUAACAAUUGUCCAUUUUCCUUUACAAAUAUGGAUGGUUCAAAUCCAUAUCCACCUUCUUGUGCACCUCAUUGACACGUUUGCUUUGGCAGUCUGCGGGAGAGGAGAGAGAUCCUUCGAUCGUUUCUCCGUGGAUGGGAAAAAGCGAUGGAAAGUUAUUCUUUUCUCACUUUUUUUUGUUCCCCUCCGGCGCUGCCAGAGUUUUUU
rnacentral:misc_RNA from 1 species